UCUUGGUCAUUUAGAGGAAGUAAAAGUCGUAACAAGGUUUCCGUAGGUGAACCUGCGGAAGGAUCAUUAAUGAAACUUCAAAGUCGGCCAAAGGUUGUUGCUGGUGAUUAUUCACAUGUGCACGCCUUUGGUCGCAAAUCCACACACACCUGUGCAUCUAUGACUCGAGGUUGUAAUGACUGAGAGUAACUUUUAUACACUCUUGUAUGUAAUGGAAUGUCUUUUUGUGCUAUAAUGUACAAUAUAAACAACUUUCAACAACGGAUCUCUUGGCUCUCGCAUCGAUGAAGAACGCAGCGAAAUGCGAUAAGUAAUGUGAAUUGCAGAAUUCAGUGAAUCAUCGAAUCUUUGAACGCACCUUGCACCCUUUGGUAUUCCGAAGGGUACGCCCGUUUGAGUGUCAUUGUAAUCUCACUUCUACAACUUUAUUGUUGUUUGAAUGUGGACUUGGAUGUUGCCGUUUUAUCAYGGCUCGUCUUAAAUGCCUGAGUGUACCCUGUUUUGCAGCGUAUCCAGUGUAAUAAACAUUUCACUAGAGUUGGUYGAAAGACCRCGUUGACUAUAUGGGCUCUAUGCUUCAAACCGUCUGCCAUGUGGACAAUUUCUUGACAAUUUGACCUCAAAUCGGGUGGGACUACCCGCUGAACUUAAGCAUAUCAAUAAGCGGAGGAAAAGAAACUAACAAGGAUUCCCCUAGUAACGGCGAGUGAAGAGGGAAAAGCUCAAAUUUUAAAUCUGGUGUCUUUGACUCCCGAGUUGUAAUCUAGAGAAGUGUUUUCCGUGUCGGACCGUGUACAAGUUCCCUGGAACGGGGCGUCAUAGAGGGUGAGAAUCCCGUAUAUGCCACGGACUACCGAUGCUCUGUGAUACACUCUCAACGAGUCGAGUUGUUUGGGAAUGCAGCUCAAAAUGGGUGGUAAAUUCCAUCUAAAGCUAAAUAUUGGCGAGAGACCGAUAGCGAACAAGUACCGUGAGGGAAAGAUGAAAAGCACUUUGGAAAGAGAGUGAAACAGUACGUGAAAUUGUUGAAAGGGAAGCGUUUGAAGUCAGUCGCAUCUGUUGGGGUUCAGCCUGGCUUUUGCCUGGUGUAUUUCCUUUCCGAUGGGUCAGCAUCAGUUUCGACCGAGGGAAAAAGACAUUUGGAAUGUGGCUGUCUUCGGGCAGUGUUAUAGCCUUGUGUUGUAUGUCUCGGUUGGGACUGA
rnacentral:rRNA from 1 species